rnacentral:sRNA from 1 species
AGGGAAAAACUGCCUUGGAGGCUG